CAAACUCCUCCACCAGUGUCUCCCUCAGUGCUUGUGAUUGUUCUGGGAGUUGUGCUCUUACUGCUCUUAGUGCCACUGCUUAUACUGAUUCAGCAGAACAGAGUGAUGAGGAGAGCUCUCUCUAAGAGGAGACACAGGACGAUGUCUGAGGCCGUUUAUGAGGAAAUUCAGCACAGACACAAUCACUUCACUCAGAGGGGGAGUCUCAUCUCUGAAGAACUGCAUUCUGGGUAUGAAAAUGCUGAUGAGCUUCUCUCAGAAGAGAUUAAGCAAAUCACACCGGGAUAC